UAGAUCGUAACAAGGUUCCGUAGGUGAACCUGCGGAAGGAUCAUUACCACACCGAUCCAAGAUCUGUCUUCAUUGUGAAUUCGGAUGGCAUGGGCAGCAGCUUGACUGCUGUACUAUGUCGUCCACUGUGUUUGGCUCGUGACUUUUGUUGCGAGCCAUCCAUAUUUCUUCUAUAUGGUAAAACAAUUUAUAUGUAAUUUGCUGAUUUUACUAACUAGUCUUAGUACUAGUAGUACUAAUCUGCAAGAUCCAAAUGACCUAAAGCUAAAGUGCAGCUGGUUUGGUGUUGUGCCUUGUGCCAACACUACCCUGUACACAAAACCUAAUGACUUACAACUUUCAGCGGUGGAUGUCUAGGUUCCCACAACGAUGAAGAACGCAGCGAAAUGCGAUACGUAAUGCGAAUUGCAAGACCUCGUGAAUCAUUAAAAUUUUGAACGCACAUUGCGCUUUCGGGAUUUUCCCGGGAGCAUACUUGUCUGAGUGUCUGUGGAUCCCACUCAGCGCUGGUGUUAUUGUUAUCAUCGGUUGCUGGUUGCUUUGGCUUUGACGGUGGUUGCUGCUCCAGUAGCCAGCCGCUGCUGUCUUUGCUUAAAUUCUACAUCACUGUACGUGCAUAGAUCUAGAAAUGUCAUGGUUCUGUCUGAAUGACGGCGUUGACAAUCUCAUCUAUCUCUGGUAGCUUGUCUCUGGAGUUUAAAUUGAGUUUGUUGUUAGCUGUUUGCCAAACGUUCCCGGUCAGUGUCUACGAUCUGGGUAGUGGUUGUGGUGUCUUCUUCACUUCCACUAUCUACACAAUUCCGGAUCUCAGAUCAAGUAAGAUUACCCGCUGAACUUAAGCAUCUGUCGGACUGCAGGA
rnacentral:misc_RNA from 1 species